rnacentral:lncRNA from 1 species
UAACUUACAAAAACCAAAAAAGACGAAAUCUUUAAAUCAAACACCCACAGGCCACCACAUCUUAUAAUCAUCAUUCUCAAAAGAACCCGACCCGACUGAGUCAAACUUGACAGGUCCUCUACAAAUAGGGCAAUUCAACACCUUGAUCAACCAAGAAUCGACACAUUUCGAAUGAAACACAUGAUUACAACCCACAAGCCUCCUACAAUUCUCCCCCUUCUUAAACCACUCCAAGCAAACGGCGCAUUCCUUAACCGGGUCGGAUCUCGGGUCGGACCUGAACCCGGGGAGAUUCUCCUCGAUUUCAGAUGGGGUUAUAGAGCUCGACGCUGCGGUGGUACGGCGGCGGUGGAAAAGGUGGAGAGACGAGCCGGCGAGAAGGAGGAAGAGGAGAGAGAGAGCGGCGAGACCCAAGAAGAGGAAGAGAGAGAGGACGAAGAGGAAGAUGAUGGGCUUGAUUAGGAGCGAGUGGAGGAUGGGGUUCGGUUUUUGGUUCUCACCGGCGGCAUGGUGACGGUGAUCGGAGGUGGAAGCCGGUGGCGUUGGCAUGUGCGUAUUUUUUCUUGGGAGAGAGAUCGAGAGAGAUUUUUUUACCUUUGAGGGAGAGAGAUGGGUGAUUAUUAGAUUUUUUAUUGGGGAGGGAGGGUGCUUGUCACGUGCUUUGGGUUGAUUUUUGGCGAUCUUUUUAUGGCUUUAAUUUUAACAAUUUGUUAGAUGUGGUUCUAUAAAAAGGACCCAAAUAAUAAUAUUAUAUAAAACUAGUUGAGAAACCGCGCGUUGCGGCGGCCUAUAUAAAAAUUAUAUUAAUAAUUCAAUAUUAAUAUUUGUAGAAUAAAAUAAUUUUGUUGUUGUCUAUUAAAAGUAUAUUAAUAUAUUAAUGUUUCAAAAUUAAUAUUUGUAGGAUUCAAUAAAUUUUUAUUAUAAAAAUCUUGAUUUAAUACCAAUACUAAUAUAUAAAAUUGCCAAUUUGGACUAUAAUUCAUGAUUAAAAAAAAUAAAAUAAAUUUAUACACGUAAUUAAUAAUUUAUAGCAUGACGAAUCUUAAUUUUAUCUGUUUUUUUUAAAAGUGAUCACGUUCUUCCAUUGUCACCUUCCACCAAUUUUUUUGGAUCGAUUGUGCACAAACACAUCUAACUUAAAUAUGUGAGAUAACGGUCUAUAACUACCACCCUUGCUUGUAACAACCUUUAUUUUUUAAUACUGUAUAAACAAACUUUACUUAAAAGUUUUUUGAACGGUGCAAAUAGAUAAUGCAUGAAUAAUUUUUUCCUCUAUACAAAGUAAAUCAUAUAAAAAUUAACAACAACAAACAUGUCUGAUGAACAAAACAAAUAUUAUAAAAGAAUAACCAACAAACAUACAUCACUAAUAGUUAAUUUAUUGAUAUCAACCAUCAAUAUCAUGUCAAGACUAUAUUUUUUCCCGUGUUUGGAUUUGUCGACUCCAAUAUAGCGGUCUAUAACUAUCUUUACUUGCAACAACCUUUAUUUUUUUAGUACUAUAUAAACAGCAUUCACUUAUCGUUGCAGAAGAACGACACCUCCGAGUUAGAAAUCGAGCAAAAGAACUAUCAGCAGAGAGAGGUAGGCCGGUUGUAGUAUUGAGAGAGAGGAGGUUGUGUUUAGAUGAUUCAAAACCCUACGAUCGAUAAGGGUAUUUAUAGGUGCAGAGAGAUUUGUGUGCUACUCUUUCCCAUAAUUAAAUAAUCUGAAAUAAAAUCAGAUUAAAACUUUCAAGCUACUAUAUUCCAUAAAUAAUUUGUAUUUCCCAUAAUUAAAUAUUCUGAAACAAAAUCAGAUUAUAACUUGUAUUUUCCAAAAUUAAAUAAUCUGAAACAAAAUCAGAUUAAAACUUUCAACAAACUAUAUUCCAUAAAUAAUUUGAAACAAAAUCAGAUUCUAAAACUUGCUUCUAAUAUACUCGAAAUUAAAAAAGGUAGUUCUAAUUUUUGAUAUUUUUCAUCCAAAAAUUUCAGAAAAUUAGAAAAAUAGAACAGAGCGAUGUGAGAGCCUCCACUUACUCGCCCCUCGCUUCUCCUUUAUAUAAGUAUAUUGAUUAGAUGAAGUUAUUAUUAUCUUCUAAAUUUAUUUCUUAUUUUAAAAACAAUCGUUUGGUAUUGAAUUCAAUAAAAGUAUAGAAAAUAGUUCAAAAAAACGUAUAGUUAUUAUUUUUAAGCGAAUAAACACAAAAUAAUAUUGAAAACCACCUUCAUAAUUUGAGAUCUAAAUAAAAAACAGUUUGGAUCAGAUUAUGGGGUCCUUUGGGCAAGCUUAAAAAAAGUGACUUCUUGCUUAAAUUAGAGAAGUGGAGGAAGUAAGAAGUAAAUAAGUGAAUAAAAUGUUUGGAAAAGAAGCAGAAGCAGUGAGAGAGAAGCUAGGAUUCUCAGCUUCUUAAAAAUGCUUCUGCUUCUUUACACAAACGGGUCAAGAAAAGCAGAAGCCAGAAGCAGUUUCUGCUUCUGGUAAACAAACAGGACCAAUAUAUAUCUAAAAUGAUUAUGGUUCUUUUUAAUAAUAGUCUUCGCAUUCUUAGAACAAAAAUUAAAAAAAUACUAGAUUUAAGAGUUAGCACCCGUUUCACAUAUCUUACAAAUAAUUUUAAUAUAAAAUGUAAAAUUAAUAGCUAUUUUACUGAAUUUUCCCACGUCUCUUACACGUUAAAAUAUUAAUUUAAAGUUCUGUUUUGAUUUUUUCAAACAUAGAUUAAUUUAAAGGUCAAUCUGGAAAAACACAAGUAUUAGAAAAGUUUGAAAAGGUCCAGUUCUUCUGGAUUGCACUCCUAGCAGUCCAACUCAUUAAAGUCUUUUCAGACCACCUGAGUUUAACCUGUUCAUCGGCCUCUAUCUUCAGCAAUCAGCCCAGCCCAAUAUGCACAUUUCACAUGAUUUAAAAUAGAACUGCUUCUGAGCCCAGCCUACUUCGGUAUUUACGGAUUGUAAAUAGUUCUGUGAUCCACUCUCCUUAUUGGGCUUUGAAGCCUUAUCAUGUCCCAGUAGCAUGGAUAUUUUUUCAGAAGGAAAAAAUUUAAAAUAAUUAUCAAAUUAUAUUUUAAAAGAGCAUUAGAAUUUGUACAGUUGAGGGAAACGGAGGGAGUUUAAUUAUUAAAAUAUUGAAUUUUAUAUUACGGAUCACGAUUUUAAUAUAGAAUAUUUUUUAUUUUUCUGGUAAAGUAAUAUUAAAUAUUUUAGAAUCAGGAUUAGGGUCAAAUUUGAAAUUUUCGAUUAGGGUGCUGAAGCCAAGUCCAUUACACUUUUCGUCUUUCUUCUCUCCGGGUCCCAAAAAUUAUAUUGCCGUUGCUGAUUAAUUUAUUGAAUUACGAAGUUGCGUGUGGUGAUCGGUGAACAGUGUGACCUGUGGAUCAAAUAAAACAAAAUAAAUACAACAUAAACUGCACGGCUACUGCAUCUUGCAUCAUACAAAGACAAAAAAAGGUAAAGUCAAUGUUGAUGCUCACUCGUCUCACUUGAAUUAUUUAAUUUUAAAAUUUUAUAAAUUAUUUUUGGAAAAUUCUUUUAAAAAAUAUUAUUAUUUAAAUUUUCAUUUAGAGUCAAAAGAAUUUAAAAAUAAAUUAUAAAACCGUAUUCAUAAUAACGUAAGAUUUGAAUACCCGAUUUUCGAUUGUAAAUGAACCGAAUUGAGUUAAAUUUUUACUUAUAGGGUAACGAGUCCAACUUGACUGUCAAGCUUAUUGGACAUUUUUUUUUGUUCGGAUUUGGGUUCAUUAAGAAUCGAGUCGAGUUGUUUGCAAGCAAUUCGAGUUCGAGUCAAAUAGUUUGCGAAAAUUUAUUAUUUUCUUUAAAUUUUAGUUAAAAUAUAAAAUGUCUUUAAAAUAUAUUGAAGAAUGAAGAAUGCAGAUGUUGGGAUGUACUCAUAGUAAUGAUGUUGCAAAAUAAUAAUAAAAAAGACAUAUAUAUUUGAUUUGAAAUUUAAUAAUGAACUAGUAAAAUUAUUACUAAUUCAAACAAUUACACCCUGGAAUGACGUAUUUUUUAGGAUAAAUUUUUUGUCAGUUAACUACAGUCUACAAGAAUAUGAGGAUCCACUUAUUUUAACGAUGCUAGGAAAAUAUUAAAAACGACACAUAAAUUAUAUUUUUUGUUCCUUGUUUUGUACAUAUCAAAUGUGAAAAAAGACACACGUUUGUUUUAACAAGUUCAAGUUUAAUGAGUCAAAUUUGAUUCAAAUACUAAUAAUAUGAUUUGAGUUUUUUUACGAAUAAAAUUUAUUAUAUGAAUUUAUAUUCGAACUCAAUAACAAACCGAAUCAAGUCAAAUUUUAAAAUAGUCGGAUCGAGCUUAUCCGCAAACACGCACAUUAAAGCUGCUGGUUUACGUCUCUGGAGAAUAGUCGGAUCGAGCUUAUCCGCAAACACGCACAUUAAGGCUGCUGGUUUACGUCUCUGGAGAAUAGUCGGGUCGCGCAAACACGCACAUUAAGGCUGCUGGUUUACGUCUCUGGAGUCUGGUCCUUGGUACAUACACUACAUAGUGUAUUGAAUUGAAACGGUUGAGUAGAUGUGGACAAAGGUCAUGAUGUGGUGUACAAGCCCACCUAGGUCACACACAUAAUAUUGUACACCAAGAUAACACUCCCUCAACGGUCAUCCUGGCCCAUAAUAAAUACAGUAUCAUGCACCCAUUAAUACACACCCAAGCUUCUCCCAUUUCCUUAAUUUCAUUACACACAGCUUGUCAAGUGCUUCACUAAGAAUUUAUUAUUUAAAGCUGAAUAUUAAUAGUCUGCAACCAGCAUGAAUCAAAACUUCAGAGAUGGAUAUCUGAUUUUUUAUAUGCAAAAAGCUUAUAUACUUUACAGAUGAGUAUAAUAAUUAUUUUUAUAAAAACUCGAGAUAAAUGAGAAUCGAACUCAAGACAACAUGGAAUUAUAAAAAAUGAACUGCACUGGCACAAUAACAUAUCAUUGAUCAAGCCUUCACACUGCAAAUUUCAGACUCUUUCAGAAUCAAAAAUUCUUACAUUUUCAUUUACUAAUUCUACUAUAAAUGUAACAACUUUUUACCAGGAACCUUAUGUAAAAGAGCCGGAGAAAAGAAUGAGGAGCGUUUGGAUCAUGAGAUUCCAGCCGGUUAACGGAAACCAGAAUAAUAUUUCAAUUCAAAACUAGACUAAACAUUUGUAGAGAAAGAUGAGUGCACAACCUUGUUUUGUCCUCCCAUAAGCCAAAUCAAAGUCCUCUUGGUAAAUGACUGUGUAUUUGCCUGAGAAUCCAAACUAUUGCUGCUCUGGUUUUCCUCGUUACAACCUAGCUCACUUCCUCCACAUUCCAUCAUAUCGCAACUAGACCUCCUGCUUCCAGUCUGCAUCACAUUCUUGAGCUUCGUUUCGUCCCCAGCAACCACAUUCUUGUGCAUUAGAAACCGGAGUGAGGAGGUUCUCCUUGAUGACUCCCCGUUGUUCAAAUUAGGCCUCUCCUUCUUACCCCGGAGCCAAAUCUUUGAAAUUGAAAAGCUUUCCUCCUUGUUCUUCCUAAUUCUAUCAUCAACAUAACUGAUACUAGGACUAGUACUCGUACCAAUAUGAUUGUCCACACUUUUAAAUGUUGCUAAACUAGUAAAAUCUCUCCUCGAAUAACAAUCACACUCAGACAUCGCGGUUUUAUGGCCUGGAACCAAUGGCAGACCAGGCUUUUUAUAUGACAGUUUUUUCAAUGGGGUUCGUAUAGGCACCUUCAAUGAUGUAUCUUCAUCCAUAACAUACUCGAAAGACCCCAUUGAAUAACACCUUCUAGGACCAGCAUUACUCUCACCACUACUAUUUUCACCUCCAUCGACAUUUUUGAACUUCCCCAACUUAACUCUAAACACUUUCUCCUCUAACUCUACUUUCUUUUCUUGAUUCUCCUCCUCCUUCACUUGAAUUUCACAAGAUUUCUCGACACGAAAGGACCCCAAUUCUUGAGAAUUGCUAGUGGUAACCACAACCCCCUCUCUAUCAUUAACAAUUUCUCUUGAACUCUCACUACCAGAAUCAAGAACAAGGACUACAGGAGAGAAAUUCUUGUUUGUCGAAAAAUCAGACAACAAGCAAUCUCUACAAAGUGGACAAGUAGAGUGUGAAAGCAACCAAGUAUCUAUACACUCCAUAUGAAAAGCAUGACUACAUUUAGGCAACAAUCUAAGAUUAUCAUCACCCUCAAAUUCACACAAACAAACAGCACAAUCAAAUGGAUUUUUAACCCCUACUAUAGCUUUAUAAUUAAAGAUUGGCAAGGUAUCUAUAAAAGACUGAUCAACUCCAGAAUCAUGUAAAUGAAAGAGCUGCUGCAAUUGACCUUGAAGAACAGUUGUAUCAUCUAAAUCAUCAAACUCUCUAUUCUGUGGCCUAAAGAUAAACCUCACAAGAAGAUGGAGCAAGCCAGAUACAAAAAAUAUUAUAGCUAAUAUAAUGAUAAUUAGCAAAAUACUUGGACUAACCUUGUUGUUCAAACUGAAACCGUUAUCUCUAUUUUCAAGAUUUGACAAUGGAGGUAGUGGUAAUGGUGGAGGAAACACAUAUGUUGGUGGCUGCAUGGUGGAAACAAAAAAGAUUCAAACUUUACACUAAAUUCAUGUCAAAACAGCAAGCCCUUUUGCCAAAAUGGCCAAAUCUUUGAGCUAACUGCAAAAGAUUUGUAAAUUUCAGAUUCUUGAAAUUCUUGUUUUGGGCUCAAAGACAAUGGAAUAGAGAAACAAAGAGAUGGUAGCAAAGAAAGAUUAAUAGGGUAGUUGUGACAAGAUUGAUGAAGUAGAGUGAGCAUUAAUGAUAUGAUGUUAUUGAGUUCUGUAAGUACUGAAAUUUUUAGGCCACAGUAAAUUUGAAGAAAUUUCAAGAAUGAAGAUCCAAUUCAACCCAGAGGAGCUGGUAAAUUUGUUGACUUGAUGCAAAAGAUCUCAUCAACCCCCAUGCACAUUAAUUACCUAAUCAAAAAAUAAUCAAUUUAAUUAAUUAAUUAAUAUUUAUGGGAGAGUGGACCUUAAAUUUCUUCUAAUGCAGAUUCUUCUAUUCUUCUCCGGUUAGGUUGUGGACUUUUAUAGUACAGACAAAUACUAGAAGGUGAAAAUUAUACUACAAAAUAGAAACAAAAAAAAAAUGAAAAAGAAUUGAUGGAUCAAAAGUCAUAGGUAGAGAGGUUUGGAGGAAAGAACAGAGAGAUAGUAAAACAGAGUAGGACAUAGGAUGAAGUGUAUAUAUGGAGUUAAAAGUGGAAACUUGUCUACUUGAAACUCUGCAAGUCAACAGAUCUGUUAAGUUUGUGGAAGUUGAGUUUCUGUCUGUGUUCCUCCCUCCGUCUCUAAAUACUUUUCCUGUUUGUACUUUUCACGUUUGCCAACACACACUUUUGAUCGUUAAUAUCUUUCAUUUUGUAGUAGCAUUAAAUAUAAAAACUUCACCGUAUUAAAAUACUCGUGAAUACGAAUCUAACAAGAUCACUCAUGACUAUAUUUAGUUUUAUAGAUUAGAUGUAAAUUAGUAAUUUGUCUCGUGUUAUGAACAGUACCGACAUCACAAAUAAGAAAAGAAAAAAGAAACGGAGGGAGUAACUUGUUUCAACUUAAAAUCCACAUAAGCUUCGGUCCUCUGCAACGUUGUAGCCUCACUCGGGGACCACUCUGUUUGAUCUAAAAACUAAUCCGAUUAAUCGUUACGACGUAUGUUUAUCAUCUAAAAUUAAAUCGAUAUCGUGUGCCAUGUUUCGGUAACCAGAUAAAUGAUAGAAAUAUAAUUUUUUACGCAUUAAAUUGUAUAAAAAACUAAAACCGUAAUUGUUGAAAGUCCGAAUAUCCAGACAUCGGAGCGAAGUCAAUAAGAGAAUCGAUAACUCGAAUAAUUAAUUAUUUUUCAACACACAAAACAUUGGCACUUCAUCGCUUAUCCAUCUUCUAUACAAGUUAUUUAGUGGGUGUUUGUACACAUCACUUCUCGGUUUAUUUAUAAAAGAAGUGGGAUUAAAAAAAUUCUGGUUUGUUUGGCUGAAGCAAAGAAGUGCUUCUUUUGGGCUAGAAAAAGUUGGAAGUAAAAAGCUUAGAAAUGGAGCUUUUUUCAAAUCCGCGACUUCUUUGCAACAAAAAAAUUAUGGUAUCCAAACACUUUUAGUAACUUAUAAACUUAACCCAACUUCUUUAUUUUAAUCAAAAAUCACUUUUUUUUAAGUUCAGUCAAACGGUCCCUUAUUCUCCACGAGUAAAUCGGGAUCACCUCUCUUCUUAUUUUUUUUUCUUUUUUUACGAUUGGUCGGCCUAAAACUAGUUUCAAAAAUAAUUAUUUUAUAAUGAAGGGAAUUCCGAUUAUGCACCAAUUAUAUUUUUUCUUGUUUGUCCUUUGGGAAAUAUUGAGUCGCCAAAAUGCUUUACAAAUGGUGGUAAUAGUGAGUGUCUGUACUUGUGGAUUUUGCGAAUUAAAAUGGCACCACCUCAUAUGUACCAUAGCAUGUGCAUGUGCACCACUCGGGCUCUCCACUGUAUAUGGCUUGCAUUUAAACCGACAGCUAAUAUUGUGUUUAAUUAGUCAAUUAUUGCAGAGUAUGUCUUAUGAUUUUAGGGUUAAUUAUCAAGCUAAUCCCUGAAAUGGGCUUAAUGUAUCAAGUUGGUCACUGAACUCAAAACGGUAUCAAGAUGGUCACUAAAGUCACCAUAAAUAUCAAACAAGUACCUUGAAACAUAAAUUUAAGUAGUAAAAAUAUUAUUUAUAAAGUUUUACACAUUAUUUUUAAAUGUUACCACAACCAACUAAAAGGUUAUGACUUCUAGUAUUUAAAAUAAUAUAUUUAUAUUUUAUCAAGUUUAUUUAUUAUUUAUAUUUUAUUUUAUAGUUAUUUUUCUGUUUUAAUUAAAAAUAAAUAAUAAAUUAAUUCGAUAAAAUCUAAAUAUAUUAUCAUAAAUAUCAGAAGUCAUAACCUUUUACUUAGUUUUGGUAACAUUCAAAAAUAAUGUAUAAAAUUUUAUAAAUAAUAUUUUUACUGCUUGAACUUAUAUUUCAAGGUACUUGUUUGAUAUUUAUAGCAACUUCAGUGACUAUCUUGAUACCAUUUUGAGUUCAGUGACCAAUGUGAUACAUUAAGCCCACUUCAGUGACCAAUUAGAUAAUUAACCCUAUGAUUUUAUGCAUUGACGCAAUGGUAAUCUUAAAUUUUGUUUUCCCCUUUAAAUAUAGCAUAAUUUUAGAGCAUCUCCAACAGAUUACCUAUACCAUGUCUUAAGCUAAAAAUUUAAGGAAUAUGGACAAAAAUUCACUCUAGCAGAAUCCCUACUCAUUCCCUAAAUUUUAUGAUCGAUUUUUUAUUCCUCAUAAAUAGGUAACCCCUAACUCAUUCUUCAUUUUUUUUAAUGAUUAAAUAUUCAACUUGCCCUUUUUGAACACUCUUCCCAUAUUUUUCUUAUUAUUUUUUUGUUAAAAGAAUUUGAAUUUAAUAUUAUAAUAAUAACAGGGAACACAAAUAGGGAUCAUUAUUGGAGUUCUCAAUCAAUAUAGGAUCCCUAUUUCUUAGAAUUUGAAUUGUUUAUUAUAUAUUCAGGGAACCUAGCUGGGAUACUGCUGAAGAUGCUCGCCAUCCUUUGGUUCGAAUCAUUUGAAUUGUCAUUUGGAUUUAAACUCAAUUCUCAUCAUAUUAUUUGAAGUUAUUUUGGGAGUUCCAACGAUGAGUUUUCUGAAAUAAUCAGCAGAAAUUUGUUGAUAUAAACUUUUAUAGAUAAAAUAUUAUUCCUAUUGUUUUUUCAAGAAAAAUAUUUAUUCUAUAAGGAAUUUGUAGAUUAACCGAAGUCCGAACACAGUCCUAAACUAGAAUGAUACAGUAUAUUUCAAAUAGCCCAUUUAGUGGGCCCGGAAACAAGUGAUAAGAAAAGCCCAAUGGGCUAUCUGGCAAGCAGGGUAGCAGACCAGCAUCCCUGAAAUUCUCAAAAUAUCCGUUUGCACUUUUCUCUGAUGGCUGAAGUUACCUUGUACUACCUUUAUUAAGAGCUUUUUAACCUUUUUUUUUGAAAUUUUCUACUUCUUUUUUUUUUUUCCUUAAACUUUUUUUCUUUGAAUUUUUAAUGUCAGCUCGAACCGGAGUUGGAUAAGCCAAAAUGUUUCCCAGGAAAAAUGGAUCUUCUCUCGCUGCAGCCAUCACAUUUGAAGUACUACUGUCGCACCUGAAGUAUUCCGGGCUCGAUUGGAAUUUUCUAAAAAAAUAAAAUUCAUGAAUCUAAAGGUAUUCAACUGAGAUCGUUUGAAAUUAAUUAAAUUUUUAAAUACUCAAUUCAAUUGAAAUUUUAUAUUAUGCUAUAAAAUCUGAUAGUAAUUAAUCAAGAUUUUAAAUUAAGAUUAAAAAUCUGAUUGUAUCAAUUGAAAUUGUUUAAAAUCUGAUGAUAAUAGAUUUUUUUGGAUUUCAUCAUAAUGGAUUUUUAUGGAUUUUAUAUAAUGAUGGAUAAUGUGGUACUGAUCACUGCUCAUAAAACUACAGUUUUUUGGAAUCUCCACAAAAUCCAUAAAAGUUUGAACUAUUAUGUUUAAAUCUUAAAAAAAUUAUCAACUUUACGACAUCUUAUAAAAUGACGGUAUUAAAUGUUUUAUGAAAUUAUAAUUCGAAAUAUUUCUAUAGUUUCAAGAACAAUUUAAUAUUUGUAUUUUUUGUCUGGAGUUCAAUAUUUUAAUUAAAUAUUUUAAAGGUUCCUAAAAAUCACUAAUAUCCUACGAAAUAACACAAAAUAUGACAAAAUACAAAUAAAAAAAAUUCCACCAGAACACAUCUCAAUAAUUUCAAUAAUCUAAAUCGAACAGUAAACAUAUGUCUCUUCCCAGUAAUCCGCUGCUUGGCCCAAAUAAUUUAGUUAGUGCCUUCAAUUUAGAUUAACCACUAAGAUUAUAAAAUAAUGAGCUAUAUAUAUACCUUUCUUUGCAUCUCCCCUAAUCAUUAUCAAAGUUAUUGCUUUAUGAUUUAAAGAUGGUUAGUUGGCAAUUCCUAUAUUUAUGAGAUAGAUAGCAGCAGAAAAGAAAUCACAUGAAUUUUUAUUGUCAUUUUGGAGACCUUUCGUGAAGAAUUCAGAGUUGAUUUUUUUUUUCCCGUUUCGAAUAUAUUUCAUUGUUUUGCUAAUUACUACACUAAACUCCGAAUUCUUCUCCACACAAUCGUAAUUAUACAGUUAUAUAUAAUCAGAACAUAUAAAAUUCAAUCACUCUCUCUUUCGUAAAUCAAUCAAUCAAUAUACUUAUAUAAAGGAGAAGCGAGGGGCGUGCAGGUGGCGCCUCUCAGAUAGCUCCGUUCUAUUUUUCUAAUUUUUUGGAAUUUUUGGAUGAAAGAUAUCAAAAAAAAAUUGUUUCAGAUUAAUUGAUAUGGUAUAUAUCUUGGCAUAAAUUAAUCUGAUUCUGUUUUAGAUUAUUUAUGGAAUAUAAUAAAUCGCAAGUAUUAAUCUGAUUCUGUUUUAGAUUAUUUAUGGAAUAUAGUAGCUUGGGCAUAAAUUAAUCUGAUUCUGUUUCAGAUUAUUUAUGGGAUAUAAUAAAUUGCAAGUAUUAAUCUGAUUCUGUUUCGGAUUAUUUAUGGAAUAUAGUAGCUUGCAAGUUUUUUUAAUCUGAUUCCAUUUUAGAUUAUUUAAUUAUGGAAAAGAGUAGCACACAAGUCUCUCUGCACCUAUAAAUACCCCUCUAGGUUGUAAGGUUUUGGAUCAUCUAAACACAACCUACACUCUCUUUCAAUAUCACAGUUAGGGGUGUGCAUUCGGUUCGGUUAACCAAAAACCGAACCAAAUAACCGAAAUAAUUUCGGUUCAGUUAAUCGAAAUUUAUAUUUAGGAUCGUUUUUCGGUAGUCAAAUUGUCAUUUUCUGGUUAUUCGUUUUUUCCGGUUAACCGAAUGCACACCCCUAAUCACAGUGAUAUAUGUUUGUUGGUUAUUCUUUUAUAAUAUUUGUUUUGGUCGUUGGACGUAUUUGUUGUUGUUUGCAAAGCUUACUAUUUAUUUUAUUGGGCGAUGGAUGAAUAUGGCUAGAUGUCAUCAAUCAGUUCUGUUAAAGCGUUCUAUGCUUUUUAUAUGCAGGGAGUGUUGUAUAUGUCUAAGAAGUAGUGUUUGGAAAAGUUCUUGACAAUGUUAGUCAAGAACAUGAUUACUUUUCAAAAAAAACCCACACAAUUAGAAAAGUUAAUGAUAAUGUUAGUCAAGAACAUAAUUACUUUUAAAAAAAAACAUAAUUAAAUUAAGAUUCGUCGUGCUUUAAAUCGUUAAUUACAUGUAGAAAUUUAUUAUCAUUUUUUCACUCGUGAAUUAUAGUCCAAUUUUACAAUUUAAAUAUUAAUAUUAGUAUUGCAUCGAGAUGUUUAUAAUAUAAAAUUUAUUUUAUUCUACAAAUAUUAAUUUUGAAUCAUUAAUAUAAUUUUUAUAGUCCGCCGCAACGCGCGGCUUCUCAACUAGUAGUUUUGAUUAGAGAGUCAUACGAUAGUUUUAAAAAAUUCUGGUCGAUCAAUAACAAUUCUUGUCAACCCAAAUUAUGAGAAUAAAAUAUUGAAUAAAUUUGUUUGUCGAAAAAAAGUUCAACCACAAGCACUUACUUUCAAAAUAUAUUACGAGCUACUGAUAACAACGUCAAAAUUCAAGUUAUGUACAAGCAUAAACAAAUAACACUAUUUUGUAAUACAUAAAUUUAUAUAUUUUUAAGAUUUUAAAAUUUAUUAUUUAUUUUAAUAAAUCUGAUAUGAAGAAUGUUGAAGAUGAUACUCUAACAAUCUAUUCAAGUAAAUACUUAUCAGUUACAAUCGAGAUUCAAAUAUCAAUAAUUAAAUACAAAAAUUUACCCACCCAGAAUUUACACACAAACAUCGUUUAAAACAAGUUUAUUUUACAGUGGCAUGGUAAACUUGUAAAAUGAGUUGCAUAACACAAGCUAUACACACACAACCAAGAACAAUAUAUUAUAGUACAAUCAAUCAUUAAAAAGCUCAGCAAUUUGAGCAAAGCAGGCUUAAUAAUAUUUACAGGAAUUCGAGUCACCGUAAUAGUCGCUGUCUGAUCCCUUAAAGAACUCCCACUAUUUGUGUUUGUGUUUGUUUAUUAGUACUUGGUUGUAUGUACAUGUCUGUGUUAGUUUACUAGUACUUGUUUAUAGCUAUUUUUAUGUAUACAAUUUUUAUAUAUCUGUACCGACAUUCUAGCACUACCCUUUGGCCCUUUCAAUCCCUAGUGCUUGUUUUUGUUUAAUUUUAAUUUUUUUUGGGUUUUGUCAUUGUUUGAUUUCUGAUCAAAUCACCAACAAUUGAGUGUUCUUGGUUGUGGGUUUUUGAGGACCCUUUUGUGUCAGCAUGUGAUCUGGGUGGUUUUUGUUGAUUUUCAUUUUUCCCGGGAAAUUUUGGAAUUUUGUGAUUAUUGGGUGGAUUGAGAAGUGGGUCUUGAAAGGGUUUGAAUUUUCCGGGAAAAUUGGAAGUGGGGUUUGUGGAAUUUGACUUUUUAGGGAGAAUCGAGAACAGGGUUUGUGGGUUUUGCUGGAUUGCUGUGAUUUUCUGGGCUUAAGAAUUGGUGAUCUUUCGAGUUUGAUAUAUGGUCAAAGGCUUUCCUGAGUUUGUAUCUGUCAUAUGGUUUAGUGGCAGUAGGGAGGAAGAUAUAGUAGAUUUAUUUUGAUGUUUGUGGAAGGACUAAGAAGUGGUUUGUGAUAAUAUUGGUUGAUAAAGGAAGGAGCUUUAUUGAUAUUGGUACCUGUUUAUGCAAUUUCUUUUAGUGAUUUUUGGAUGAUCAGGAUGAAGAAGAAAUGUGUUAUACUCUUAGUCCAACUGUAAAUUUCAAGGAUUUGUUAUAGAUAGGAGACAGUAUAAGUUGAUUUGGUGUGUGUACAUAUUAAAUUACACACUUGGCUGCAAUUAUUGGAGAAUCAUGAAGUUUUUAAGUCUUGUUAGUAAUUCCUUUGGUUGUUCUGCAUCUGGGGAACGCUUGGUUUCUGCGGCAAGAGAUGGAGAUCUUCAGGAAGCUAAAGCUUUAUUGGAAUAUAAUCCCCGUCUUGCUAGGUAUUCAACUUUUGGUGUCCGGAAUUCCCCUCUUCAUUAUUCUGCUGCCCAGGGCCACCAUGAGGUAUAUUUAGUAAAUACUAGCUUCCGCUUGCAGAUUAAAUUAGUUAGCUAGAUACUACUUAUAUGCUUGUGUAAUCGUAACUUCAUUUCAUCCUUGUAGAUAGUUUCCUUGCUGCUCGAGUCCGGAGUCGAUAUUAAUCUCAGGAAUUACCGUGGGCAGGUAAAUAUUACAUGUUUUUGGAAUAUUGAAAUAUCACCAAGUUGCCCUUUUGGAUUAUCUGGUCAAUUUCUGCUUACUGUAUGUCCAUUUGUGCAAUUGAUUUAAGUCGUAUACUUCGACUGUUGUAGUAUUGAGUUUUGUAGUGUGAAUUUGAUGUCAGAUGUUUUCACUGAGAGAAAUGAAAUAAUGGGUACAUGUUUAUGUAACAGACUGCAUUGAUGCAAGCUUGUCAAUACGGCCACUGGGAAGUUGUUCUGACACUGGUCCUUUUCAAAGCUAACGUAUGACAGUGUCUACUACAGUUAGUUUUCUUAUAUAUUCCCUUGCAACAUCCUUUACAAGAUCAUUAAGAACUUACAAGCAUGUAUUUCAGAUGCACAGAGCUGAUUAUCUUAAUGGAGGUACUGCACUGCAUUUGGCUGCACUAAAUGGACAUUCUCGGUGCAUACGAAUCCUGCUUGCUGACUACAUUCCAAGUGUUCCGAAUUUUUGCAAUAUCCUAAACAAAAGAUCUAGAACUGAUGAAUCUAUCUUAGAAUUUGAUAGGAGGUACCUAAUGCAACAGUCUCCCUUUGGUAUUAGUAAUAUAUUCCAUAUACGUCUAAUCUAUCUUCUUGGUUCUAUUGCAUCAGCUCACUCUAUCAGGUAAUCAAUAGUGCCUCUGAUGGAGGCAUCACUGCCCUUCAUAUGGCUGCACUAAAUGGGCAUGUUGAUAGCGUGCAUUUACUCAUUGAACUGGGGGCUUCUGUAUCUGAGGUAACUGUUGAAGAUGGGACCACGAUCGAUCUAAUAGGUGAAUUCCAAUAUUUGAACUUUUAUCUUUAUAUAGCUACUACUAGUUAUCCACCUCUAUAAUUUGAAUCUUUGUCAUCAAAUUUUUCGUUUCCCUUUGUUCAUAUUUCUUGGUUCUUUUAAUCUUCUUUAAGAAGUCAUGCAUUGCUUUUGUUGUAUAGAAAAUAGAAUUUUUUUACUAAAAAUUUGUGUUACAAAUCUGAAAGUUGAGAUAUUAUAUAAUCCAACUCUUCAUCCCCUUUGUGACAGAGAUUUUGUAGAUUACAUAGUAAUACUUAAGUGACUGCUUCAUGUUGUUAAUACUUCAAAGGGACAUAGUUACAUAAGAAAACCUGGCAACAUCUUAACAACAUUUGAAAAGGUAUAAAAAAUAAUAAUCAGUGUUAUUUAUAAAAAAAGGCACACUGAAGUGCAAAGUUUACCCUAGAGCCUAGGUUUAAGUCGAGUUGCAUGCCUCACUGAAGAGAGGCACAAGAGUUGAGAGCUAGCCGUAUUAGAUUAUUAUACAGUUGGCUGAGAGGGUGGUCUCGAUGAGAUUUUUGGUUCAAACUUGAUACAUAACCCUAUCAGAGGAUGAAUAUAUAAGAACUAUAGCCAAAAUGAAAAAAGAAUGGAGGAGUGCAUUCCCCCUUUUUUUUUAAUAAAUUUAAUAUAUUCUGGCCUCAGGUGCAGGAAGCACACCUCUUCACUAUGCGGCAUGCGGUGGAAAUGCACAUUGUUGCCAGGUAUGUUUCUUUAGUUAUUGUUAUUAUUACUUUAUCCACUAUUGUUGGACAUAUCUGAUCUUUUGCAUCAUCAUAGAUCUUAAUUGCAAAGGGAGCCAGUCUGACUGCGGUAAAUGCAAAUGGGUAUGCAUUUUAUCUACACUCACACUCACUGCACUUGCUGCUACUUUUUUUAGUUGCGAUUUUACAUAUACAAUUCUGUAGACAACUGCAUUCAUCUUUAAAGUGUUAGAACAUUUCAAAGUCUCCUUAUAUCUGCAAAUCCUAGAUGCAUUUGUUCUUCUUGGGACCUUUUCUAUACUUGGAUCAUCUGCUUGUCAGGAUGACAAGCAGAUGAAAUGCUCUAUAUCAGCUUAUGUUGUGAAUCAACAUUAAUUCUGAAAUAAUGAUGAAUUUGUUAUGAUAAAGAAAUUGCGCUGUUACUCUUGAGGAUUUUCUUUUUAUUCAAAAAGAACUUUUGUAAUUCGCAUAGAGAAUCUUUCUCUAUGGUAAUUCGCAUAGAGAAUCUUUCUCUAUUUGGCCUGAAAUUACUUUCUAUAUGCUCUACAUGACAUGAGGGUUGUGGUUAUGUUUAUAUAGCUGCAUCUUUUGUAUCAAGUGAUAACUUAUUUUCAUUUUAUGUUAAAGAAUCUGAUGCUUAUAAUAUUUUUUAUGGUAAAAGAUGGACUCCUUUGGCAGUUGCUCAUUCAUGGCACAGAGAUGGUCUUGAGGAGAUUCUGACCCCAAGGGUUCAGGGACAAUCUCCUCUUGCUUUUCCACCUUCUCCGUACUUGUGUCUUCCGUUCAUGAGCAUUGUCAAAAUUGCAAGGUAAACAAUUUAAUUCAUUGUCUAUGCUAGCAAUCUCAUGUGUUUUCCUUUUCUUUUAUCAGUAUCUUUUAUAUGUAAUGAAAUUUUAAUGAUCUUGUUGUUUGCACGUUGAGUUAUAAUUAUAUAUGGACCGUAGAGUCCCAAUACACGAACACGCACCCACACACGCACACUCAUAUUGGGUGUCUUUGGUUGGGUUUAUCUAAGGUUAUUAGUGCUUUAGGGAUGUUGGAGGAUAAGAAGUUAGAUAUACAUAUUCAUAUAUUAGUUCCGUUUUGUUGAGGUUGCGUAUAUCAGUGCCUUUAGGGAUGUUGGAGGAUAAUAAGUUAGAUAUACAUAUUCAUACAUUUGUUCCGUGUUGUUGAGGUUGCGUAUAUCAGUGCCUUUAGGGAUGUUUGCAACUAGAUAAUAAUUUAGGGGUGGCAAUAUCAGACACGACCCGAAACCCGACACGAACCCGACCCAACCCGAAACCCGAUUUACUGAGACAGAAACCCGAAAGUGACCCGAAAAUCACCCGACAGACCCGAAAUGGACCCGAAAUGACCCGAAACUAGAAUUUCAUUUGUAAUAACUUCAAUUUUUGGUUUUAUUCAAUUUUAAGUGAUUUUAGGUUGACCCGAAAUCGACCCGAUUGCUGACACGAACACGACCCGUUACCCGAAAUUGCCACCCCUAGAUAAUAUAUACAUAUUUGUGUUGUGUUUAUUUGCACCCUGAAUUAUAUAUAUAUAUAUAUAUAUGUAUAUAUGUAUAUGUACAAAUAAUGGUUUAAGUGGUUUAAACGAGUCCCCGUUCAAAAUGGUGAGUUAAGUGAGACAUCUGAUUGCAAUGAGUGGCGACUUUGAUAUAAACCCCUGAAAGAAACUUAAUGUCCUUGAAGAUAGAGGUUUUAGUGUACAAAUUCUUAAUAUUUUGAAAAUUUUGAAAAUAAUUUAAAUAGGUCCCCUUUAAUAUUUUCUCGGUCCCCCCUUUACUGAAAUCCUGGUUCUGCCCCUGUUAACAGUCCAACAUUUAGAAUAUCAAGCAACCUUGAGCAUACACAAUUUUUCUCUCUGAUCAGGCUUACACAACUUUAUUUUUAUGACAUUCAAUAAAGAUUAUCAUCUUCUUAUUUGACUGCUGAUAAACUUUUAUUUUGGUUGGGAAAGACUUGUUUUAACUAUUUUGCUAAACAAAUGUUCCUGUCUUGGUUAUGUGUAGAGAAUGUGGAUGGCGUAGCAAUGAUUCUCUUAACACGUGCAUGGACCCAUGUGUUGUUUGUUUGGAGCAGAAGUGCACAGUAGCUGCAGAAGGUACAUAUUUCCGCGAAUUCAGUGUUAAUUAUGAAUAUAUGAUUUAAAGGAAACAGUGAAAAUGCACAUACCGGAUAUGAUAGAAGUAGAUAACCAGAUAACCAUCAUGUGCCAUUUAAAUGUUGUUUUGCUGUAUAUUAAACAAGUUUAUUAAACUUGGACGACAUCUCUAAAUACCCACUGUAUAAACUAUAAAGUAAGAUUUACCAAACCUUAGUGUGUUUCAGCCGUUUAAUGAUGUCACAUAUGGCUAGAGAAGAUGGGCAGUCACCAUGACAGGAUGAUGGAAACUGUUUAGUGGUUAGUGGUUAGUUGUUGAUGAGGGAUUGUUGUUGAUGUUGAGGACAUGUAGUGCAGUGCUUGUUAAAGAGGGUGAUAUUCAUUCUGUAACGGUUAUAUGUUGUGGAAUCAAAAUUUGUGGUACUCCAUAUGGAUAUAAAAUCUUCUUGCAUUUUGAUCUUUGAAAGUAAUAGACAUGAAGUAGACUUUAUAGCAGUGUUUGUUAUUUGAACCGGCACACUGCAUCAUUAUAGAAGAUAAGACUAGAUUUCAGGCUGCCAAGAGUAAGAUAGUAUCUUGUUUAACGCUCUUCAUGCAAGCAUAUCAGAUUUUGUGCUCGUCUCCAUUUGUUUUUUGUGCCAGCACCCAAUUUCAUAGGCUCAUAAGUAUCAACACUUCAUAACCACUUUCUUGCUUUAUGGGCUCUGCAUUUAGAAUAAAUCAUGAAAUGAUAGAGAGUCAUUUGGCUAUAAUAUAGUAUGUUCAUGGUCACCCCCCUGUUGCCUUUAUUUAGAGGUUUACGCUAAACUUAUCAUAGGUUUGACAAAGAAUCUGUAGUUCAACUCAAAGACUAUCCAAUGUAUGACAUUACAGAAUGUCCAUCAUAUAUCCUCCUAUAAUAUUAUACUUGGAGUCUUCAUGAAAGUAGCCUCUCUAUUCCUUAAUAGUAGGGGUGGACGCUCCUUUACCUUCUGUAGUAUUACAAUUUAUACUCAUGUCAGCUGGAAGGAAACACAAUAUGACUUGGAUGCUGCAGUCUCUAACUUUAAAUGUGUAUCUAUACUCAUGUCAGCUGGAAUGAAACACAAUUGAUACUUUCUUUGCAAAUUCUGUCUCCGCUCAUCUCUUUUGCAGUAUACCUGAAAUAUAUGUUUGUGAUAUUGUGUGCUCUUGGAUUCUAAUUAAAUUCACCUUUAUUAGUAAUCUAGUUAAUAUAAUGAUGUAAGCUCUUCGUGACGUAGGUUGCUAUCAUGAGUUUUGCACUCGAUGUGCUUUGUAUCUUUGUUCGACAAACUGCACCACUACAGUAGCUCAUGGUCCCCCAGGUUCAAUUGCUUGCCCUCUUUGUCGCCACGGCAUAGUUUCAUUUGUCAAGCUUGAGGCCACAUCAGCAAUAGUUAAGGACAUUGCUAGGACAAGUUUAUCGCUAUCAUUUUGCACUUGUACAGCCCUUGGUUCAGACACAAUAGAAACUCCAUUUUGCAAGCCCGAUGUGCAUUCUGCUCGAUUUCCCCCCACUGGAUCGUCUUUCCGUUCUCUGAGCUGCCAUAAGUUGUCAUCACUGAAACUCAACUCCAGCCUGUGCUUGGGAGCUUCAGAUUCCAAGUGUUUGAAAUCCAGUUACAGACGCUCAACAUCUAUUAACAGUGAUCGAGCAAAAGCGUGGUUAUGCUCUCUUCACCAGUGUGUAGCAACGGGUAUCGAUUACUAACCAUUGCUUUUAGAUAAUUCCUAUACAUGUUUCCACUCCACUCCAUCACAAGAUCAACAUGCAAGUGUUGUUUUUUUUGUAUCUGCUUUUCCUUUAUCGUAAUCAUUUUUGUGAUUUAUAAUCCAAUUACUCGAGUUGUUACUGUGAUUGGGUUUUGUGAUUCCCAAUUAAAAAAGAUGAAGUUUUUUAUCCCUUGCUUUGUAAAUAUAGCAUCUGCUAUGAGCAUGAAGCUAGUACAAGCAACUGUAAUUAUUCGAUACAUAUCGAUAUCGACCAUUGGUCUUUAUUGUCCAGAGACGUUUCUUCCAAAUUUUGAAUGAAUGAACUGGUGUUACAAUUCAAUCUCUUCACUAUAAUUUAAAUCCUUGAUCUUCUGUUCUUGGGUCGUGUUUAGAUUUUUUUUUUUUUAAUUCAUGACCAGGCCCGCUGUUUCUCUUACCUGUGCUGCGAUUCUGUGAAUGUAACAAGAAAAGCCAAUGUACAAUAUUGAGGCUGUUUGCGCAUGCUUAAAAGUCCAUCUUUCGUGCUUAUAAGUAAGAAGUAGUAUUUCGUACCGUUAACACUUUCGUGCUUAUAAGUCAGAAGUCAUUUAUUCAUUACCGUUAACAUUAAUGAAUUUAUAGAAUUUGAAAAUCCUUACUUUUUCUAGGAUUUUAUUUUAGAAAUUUGAUUUUUCAAAAAUGUAAAAGAUCACAUUAAAAAGAUGAUUUAUAAUAUUCUAUUAUUAUAUUAAUAAUUUUUAUAUCCAAUAAAUUAUAAAUAGCAAAAAAAUAUUCAAAUACAUAAAUCAAAAAUUAUUUUUCACUUAUAAAUAAUUUUUUACGUAUAAUCAAUAAAUAAUUCUUUUAAAUUAAGUUAAACGCUUCGUAAUCUAUGAGGAGAAAAUCACCAAGUAGAGAACUAUAAAUUUCAUUAGAUUCUGUACAUCAAUAUAUAUAUCUCCACAGCAAUCCUAUUUACAUAAAAAAAACAUAGGUUGAAGAAUAAUUCUUUUACACACCGCUGAAACUCUGAUUAGAAAGGAAGAACCAUUGUAAACUUUAGCAGGGUUUUACAAUGUAAGCUCAGGAGGAAUAAUCAAGAAUAGACAAGGUUGGAAGCUAGCGGACACAGAUUAUUUACAAGAAACAAAAAAAGAUACCGAAAAUGGUGAAAAAGUCUUGCAAGGUCAAGAAAAUCGAAAAAUAGAAAAAUAGAAGAAAAUACGAUAGAAAAGCUCAGUCAAGAUAGCGCCACGAGGAUAUCAAACAUCGACACGAGAAAGAGGCAACUUCAACGAUUCCGAACUGUCUUCUUGGAAGCAUCUUUGAGUGAAGGAUGGGAAGGCAUGCAGAUCAUUGUGCUUGUGCAUAGCAAAAGACAUUGUUCGAUUAAUGAAAGUGUAUUUUUUUUUUCUUGUUGAGUUUGGGUCGAGAGAUGAAUGUACAUGAGUUCAAUUUAUAGGAAGAGAAAGAAGAGAAAGAGAAGAUGAUAAAGUGACAGAACAAAGCAUCUAUCAAUCCAUCACUGCUGCUGCUCACACUACUACUGUCGCUUCUGUCACACAUCUUUUACCUACUUGGUCACGCUAUAUACUAAAGGAGAUGAAGGUGUAGUACUUGAAAUCUUUCUCAUUUCUUUCAGACUUGCGGACAGAAGCUGUGCGUGAGAUAUGUCAUAAAUGCGCGAGUUAAUUGCAAUUGGCACCCCUUUGGUUUCGGCUUAUUGCACAUUGCACCUAAUAGUUUUGGAAAAUACACUUUGCAGCCCCAGACUUUUAACCCGUAGACACUUUGCACCCUUUCCGUUAAUUUUUGCCGUUACCGUUAACUUUUGUAGGGGCAUUUUGGUAAAUUUAAUUAUAUUUAAUUAAAAUCAGACUUUUAUUUAAAUUUUCUGACCAUCUAAACGAUAUUUUUAGGCACUUUUUAUUUUAUGCAUGUACUCUUUUUUUAAUUUCAAUGAAAUUUGCUUUCCUAGUAUUUUAAGUUUUUACAAAAACAUUAUUUUAUUAAUUAUUAAUUAUAAACUAUUAUUAAUUAUAUAUUAAUAAUUACAAAUUAAUUUUAAAUCCGAUAAACAAAAGAUUUAGAAAUAAAAAAAUCAUUAUUUUAUAAUAAAAUAGGUGAUCCAAAUUUGGAUCAGUGAACAGUGGUGAUCCAAAUUUGGAUCAGUACUAUUCACUGAUCCAAAUUUGGAUCACUUUUUGGAUCACUGCUGGAGGAGAAUUUGGGGUAAUCUGCCCCAAAUUUGGAUCUUUGGAUCACUGCUGGUUUGCCCUUAGAGAUCAUGAUGUCAUUAAUUUAUGAAAGUUUGACAGUAUUAUGAAUACAUCCACUGAUCCACAUUGUUUAUCGAUUUUAGCUGAAAUUUUAAACCAAAUCUUUUAUACAGUUUCAAAAAAGUGACAUAAUCAAUCACGGUUUCAUAAUAGUAAUAACUAUAAACUAAAACCGAUCAGAACAGAACGGAUUUACUUAGGUCCUUCCGGUUGUAAAAUUUAUGAUUUUUAGUAUCUUAAUCUUUUUGAAAUUCUAGUGUUAAAUGAUAUUAUGCUUUUUUAUUAUUUUAAUUAAAUCUAGUUAUUUAAUUAAUUGUGGACGAUACUUCCUCAAUCUUAAACUCGAAACAGUGGACCUAUGGCUGUGAGCACAGCCAACAUGCCCUUAUUCUUUCCCAGUAGAGUGGCAGGAAUUUAAUAUACAUAAACAGCUAAAUCUUUAAUUCAGAUGGGACAUGUCAUUUCAUGUAAUUACUUAUUAUAUUUCUUUUGAAGCUGCUGCUGAUGCUACUAGUACUAGAGGCCUGCAGCUUAGGAUUUGGGACUGAUCAGGGGGAGAUAGUUGACAGUACAAGUAAAUAAUAUACUCCCUUCCUCUCUCCGUCUCAUUUCUUUACGGUUACUAUUUUGGGAUGUUUUUCUCAUUUCUUUACGUUAUUAUAAAUAGUAAGUUUAUUACACCCGUUAUUUUCUUCUACUAUCUCAUAUUUAACAAUAAAAAUUAGCUCAUUUUUUAUCCAUUGUCUUGAUUUCUGUAUCCCCUCCGAUGUAAAGAAUUGAGUGGAACGGAGGAAGACAGAUUAAUGUAUACUCCGUCGGUCUAUAUUUUAAAUGUCUUAGACUUUUCUUGGACCGAAAUUUAUAUAUAUAUAUAUAUAUAUAUAUAUAUAUAUUAUAUAAUAAAAAAAUAAUAAAAAUUAUGUCAUUAUAAAAUAUAUUUAGUCUAUUUUAAUAUAUAUUUUUCAGAAGAUAAUAAAUGAUUAAUUGUAUAAUCUGCGGUGUGUUACUUAUUAAUUUUAUAAAAAUUUGUAAAUUAAUUUUUGAGAUACAAGUCGGAAAGUGAAAAUUUAAAAAUUAAAAUGUUUCAAUAAUUUAUUUUAUUUUCAGAUUUGAUUUUAUAAAAAUGUAACAGAUCACUUUACAAAAUUAUUUAUAAUAUUUAAUUAAUAUAUUAAUAAAUUUUAUAUCUGAUAACUUGUAAAUCAAAUUACUAGUAUCAUAUUUUUAUUCAUAAAAAUAAAUUUUAAAAUAAAAUAUUUCAAUAUAAGAUCAAAAAUUUUAAAAAUAAGUUAAUGAAGAGAAAUAAUUGUUGCCUCGUUUAACGGCUUUCCCGAUUUGUGUUUCUCUUAGUGAUCUUUUUCACUUACUUAGUUCUUCUUAGUAUCAUGUUUUCUAGAGAAGCUUAAACUUUUAAUUGAAUAUUUUCUAUUAAAUUAUAUAGAUUGGGUUUGUACAUGAAAAUCAAGGAAAUAUAUAAAAAAUGAGUAAAAUCAUAAGAAAAGUCGGUAAAAUGGUGAGAUCAAUCUAUAUUUAAUAAUAGAUUUGAGAUAGUAAAGAAAAUUAUAGAUUUAAUGAUAUUUUAUAUUAUUAUAAAAAAUAGAUAAUAGUUAUAAUAGUGUUUUGUAUUAUUAAAAAGUAUUAUUUUGAGAAUGUAUAGAAAUAAAAAAACAUCACAAAUAGAAAUUGUACGAAAAUGAAUGAAAUUAAAAUUUUUAAAAAAAUAUAACAGCCUAAAUUUGAAAAUAAAUACUAAUAAUAUUAUCAACUUUGCGUAUGGCAGCAGGGGAGGUGCAGAGGAGGUGGCUAAGCCCACUUUACCAUAACAUGGGCCUGGGCUAUGCUUCAAUAGAUUUUUCCCGUCCAAAAUUGAAAACAAUAGAAUUAGUACAUGGCAUAUGCACAUUCCAGUACUGCUACUUUUCACCUAUCACAUUAUCCCGGGUAACGGCGUCAGAGCAAGCCCAGCUACAUAAAUCAAAUAACAAAGUUCUCGAUUAUCGGUGUUUUAUAUUUUAUAUAAGAUUAAUAUUAUAAUUUAUUCUAAACAUAGAAUAAAAAAUAGACUUGGAUAUAAUAGAAAUGUUAUUAAAAAAUAAAAACAGUAUGAUACUUACUAUAUGGCUAAAUAAAAACUAAAUAAUUAUGCAUAGAUAGUGGGUUAUUUGAAUAAAUUUAGAAUAAUAUAUUAAAAAAAAUUAAAUUAUUGAGUAAAAUGUACAAGCAGUUAACGGUGAGCAAGUAACAACUCUUAAAUGAUUCUGACAUAAAGUUGAUGAAAAUAUAUGAUUAAAGAUUCAUAAAUUGAAAAAUGAAAUUCUAACCAAAUUCACCAUUAUUUCAUUAUGUAAUUUUCUAAUCGAAUUCAUAAAGUCUAUUAACCGUGAGCGAACUGCUUAGAAAUAAUUUUACUUGUUUGCUCUCCGAUUUAAAACCUCGAAAUUCAUUAAUUCAACACGUGCGUCCAGGCAAAUUGAAGGCGCAGCAACCAGCAACCACCUUCAGGCUCCAACCGAACAAAGACUGUUAGGAAUAUAACAUGCUUUAGCAUUUUGAAGUGUUAGAACUUAGAUAUACCGAUUCUCGAACAUAAUAUCAGAGUUCAGAUUUAACGGAGGUCACAAAUUCAAUUAUGGGUGACCCCAAUAUUUCUUCCGGUUUCCAUCCAAUUUUUAUGCUAUAUUCCAAUAAAGACUAUCAGCUGAUGAAUCCUCCACGAAAUAAGGGAGAACCGUAACAACCAACGUCGGCACAGCCAAGCACAGCGAUGAUAAGGCCCGAGUUGGGCUAAAAUUUGGGGAUAUCCACAGCACAUGCGGAAUGAGAGGGACUCGUUGAUGAAGCCCAUAAACAACCAGCUAAGUCUACAACCUAGCUAGCCUACUCGAUCAUUCAUCACCAAACUAUUAUCAACCCACGAACGUGCGUCUCAUUAAUUCCCAACCCUCUCUGAAAGCAACCUCUCUUUCUAUCUCGCAUGCAGUAUCACAGAUGCAUCUGAAUAAUUGUGUUGCAUCACCUCAAUCUUUAUCCGAGUUUGGGUGUCAUUUGGAUUCUUUCGAGUAUUCUCCGUGUUAGAUGGUUUGGAAAAAGAUUCAUUGUGUCCAUAGACGUUCAUGCACCAUUAUUGUGUAAACAGUGUUUUCGAUUUGAUCUGUCUACUCAUAAUACUGGUCGUGGAUUGGUUUUAAUUUGUACUAAUAUGUUCUUUCUUUGAUCGGUGUGAGAUGUUUUGGUUUGUAUUGAUCGUUGAUUGAUUUUUGCAUCUUAUUUUCAUCAGUACGAGAUGUUAUGGUUCGAAUAGUAAUCACUAAUUUAAUUUGCCUAGAUAAUUUGAAUGAGCUUUGAAAAUAAUAUAUAUAAAUCGACACUAAGAGGGGUGUAUUAGAUUAUGAUUUAGAAAUAUUUUUUUUCAUUUAUGAAAUUCGAGGGUAUUCGAUUGGAAUUGUUUGAACCAUUAAAAUCUUGAGGUAUUCAAUUGGGAUUUCAAAUUAUGCUAUAAAAUCUGGUGGUAUUCAAUUGAGAUUUUAAAUUAUGCUUUAAAAUCCGAUGAUGUUCAAUUGGGAUUGUUUAAAAUCCGAUGGUAUUCAAAUGCUGAUGGAUUUUUUUGAAUUUUAUAAAAUGAUGGAUUUUAUAGCAUUCUUCAGUGUAUUUUAAGUUUUUUGAAAUUCCACCAAAUUUAAUGGGAUUUUGAAGCAUUAUGUUUAAAUCCUAUCAACUCUACAACAUUUUAUCAAGAAUCCGCAUCCAUUAAAAUCCAUUAACUAAAAACAAUCCAUUAAAAUCUCAAUAAAUACACGCGAGACACGUCUAAAAGGGACCAGACUUAUUUUCGCAAGAAACACGGCUGUCUCUUCCAAUAUGCAAAGAGUUUGGUUAUACUAGUAUUAGUAACCUGAUUUACUUAUUUAGCUAACCCUAAUUGUAUUAUGUCUUGCUUUCUUAUGAAUGAUUGAUUGAUUGGGCAGCUUCCGUACAAGAUAAUUCCUCUAACUUAUUGAAUUAUUUUUAACACAUAUAUGUACAUUAUAUUUGUUCAUGCGACAGUAGUGUACAGAUACAUGCGGUUGAUUUUUGGCUAUAUAUAUAUAAGCGUGCAUCGACUUCAUUUCUUCACAAGAAACACAGAACAUAAACUACCUUUUUCUCCAUACCCCCCUUCAUUUCAGCAGCCUGAGAGAGAGAGGGUGAGAGAGAAAGAGAUAGGGAGAGGAGAGAGAGAGAGAGAGAGAGAGAUGUGGAGCAAGGGAGUGAGGCUUGUAAGAGGGAGGGAAAGAAGAAUGACGCGUCAUUCUUCAAAGAGCAGAAACAAUAUGAGGAUGCUGAGGAAACUGCAGCGUAUGAUAACACCAGAUCAGAGCCAAGUCGCUGACCCGGAUUUUUUGUUUGAGCAGACUGCAGCUUAUAUCAGCCUGCUUCAAUCUCAUGUCAGCUCUCUCAAGAAGAUUAUACAUCAUGUGCAACAGAAAAAACUCAACUAGAAGUAAACUAGUUCACAGUUCACAUCAUAUUCAUAGACUUACGAUCAAGUCGUUUUUUACUUAGUCAUUGUUACAAAAUAUUAUAUUAUAUUGUUCUGUAAGUUCUAAAUUAGCCGCAAGCUCACUCGCAGCGAGGUUAAUGUUUGGAAUAAAUAUUUAUACAUGCUUAUAUUAUUAUUUCGAACCAUCCAGGCUAUAAAUUCACUUCGGUAGUUCACUGUUUUCAUUUCGUCUUCUUCGCCAAGAAAUGGGAGAUGUUACAGAUUUCGGGCUCAUGCACUAACCCAAUCUUGUUCGUGAUUUGUCACUAUAUAAUCUCGUUUUUAAUCUGCAUUGGCGGUCAUCGCUGGUAGAGGACAUAUUAUUAUAAAUAUAUUGUUGCAAAAGAUGAUAAUUGAAAAUUUAUUUUGUGUAGUGUCAAAUCUAUCGGAUGUGUAUGAGAAUUUGGUGUGUAACUGUGUAUGGUCUAUUUUUUUAUAAUCUAAUAAUAUACCGCUGGGAAAAAUAAAAUUUUAAAUUUGAAAUGAAUUAUAGUGAAUUAUUAAUAACUUGAGGCGUUGCUCUAUUUUUCAAAUAAGGAAAAAUUUCAAUUGUAUCUCCUAAAAAUUGACUUAACA